rnacentral:rRNA from 1 species
GUGCGAUUGGAUUGCACGUCUAAGCAGUAAGGCUGAGUAUUAGGCAAAUCCGGUACUCGUUAAGGCUGAGCUGUGAUGGGGAGAAGACAUUGAGUCUUCGAGUCGUUGAUUUCACACUGCCGAGAAAAGCCUCUAGAUAGAAAAUAGGUGCCCGUACCGCAAACCGACACAGGUAGUCAAGAUGAGAAUUCUAAGGUGAGCGAGCGAACUCUCGUUAAGGAACUCGGCAAAAUGACCCCGUAACUUCGGGAGAAGGGGUGCUCUUUAGGGUUAACGCCCAGAAGAGCCGCAGUGAAUAGGCCCAAGCGACUGUUUAUCAAAAACACAGGUCUCUGCUAAACCGUAAGGUGAUGUAUAGGGGCUGACGCCUGCCCGGUGCUGGAAGGUUAAGAGGAGUGGUUAGCUUCUGCGAAGCUACGAAUCGAAGCCCCAGUAAACGGCGGCCGUAACUAUAACGGUCCUAAGGUAGCGAAAUUCCUUGUCGGGUAAGUUCCGACCCGCACGAAAGGCGUAACGAUUUGGGCACUGUCUCAACGAGAGACUCGGUGAAAUCAUAGUACCUGUGAAGAUGCAGGUUACCCGCGACAGGACGGAAAGACCCCGUGGAGCUUUACUGUAGCCUGAUAUUGAAAUUCGGCACAGCUUGUACAGGAUAGGUAGGAGCCUUUGAAACGUGAGCGCUAGCUUACGUGGAGGCGCUGGUGGGAUACUACCCUAGCUGUGUUGGCUUUCUAACCCGCACCACUUAUCGUGGUGGGAGACAGUGUCAAGCGGGCAGUUUGACUGGGGCGGUCGCCUCCUAAAAGGUAACGGAGGCGCUCAAAGGUUCCCUCAGAAUGGUUGGAAAUCAUUCAUAGAGUGUAAAGGCAUAAGGGAGCUUGACUGCGAGACCUACAAGUCGAGCAGGGUCGAAAGACGGACUUAGUGAUCCGGUGGUUCCGCAUGGAAGGGCCAUCGCUCAACGGAUAAAAGCUACCCCGGGGAUAACAGGCUUAUCUCCCCCAAGAGUUCACAUCGACGGGGAGGUUUGGCACCUCGAUGUCGGCUCAUCGCAUCCUGGGGCUGUAGUCGGUCCCAAGGGUUGGGCUGUUCGCCCAUUAAAGCGGUACGCGAGCUGGGUUCAGAACGUCGUGAGACAGUUCGGUCCCUAUCCGUCGUGGGCGUAGGAAAUUUGAGAGGAGCUGUCCUUAGUACGAGAGGACCGGGAUGGACAUACCUCUGGUGUACCAGUUGUCGUGCCAACGGCAUAGCUGGGUAGCUAUGUGUGGACGGGAUAAGUGCUGAAAGCAUCUAAGCAUGAAGCCCCCCUCAAGAUGAGAUUUCCCAACUUCGGUUAUAAGAUCCCUCAAAGAUGAUGAGGUUAAUAGGUUCGAGGUGGAAGCAUGGUGACAUGUGGAGCUGACGAAUACUAAUCGAUCGAAGACUUAAUCAA